UACGAAGGUGGCUAGCGUUGUUCGGAUUUAUUGGGCGUAAAGGGUCCGCAGGCGGUUUGGAAAGUCGGAUGUGAAACCCCACAGCUUAACUGUGGACACGCAUUUGAAACUUCCAGACUAGAGUGUGAGAGGGGUGAAUGGAAUUUCCAGUGUAGGGGUGAAAUCCGUAGAUAUUGGAAAGAACACCGGCCGCGAAGGCGAUUCACUGGCUCAUUACUGACGCUCAGGGACGAAAGCCAGGGGAGCAAACGGG
rnacentral:rRNA from 1 species